rnacentral:rRNA from 1 species
UACAGAGGGGGCAAGCGUUAUUCGGAAUUAUUGGGCGUAAAGGGCGCGUAGGCGGCUUCGCAAGUGGAAGGUGAAAUCCCUCGGCUUAACCGAGGAACUGCCCUCCAACUGCGUUGCUUGAGGCCGGGAGAGGUGAGUGGAAUUCCCAGUGUAGCGGUGAAAUGCGUAGAUAUUGGGAGGAACACCAGUGGCGAAGGCGGCU